CCCGGGUAUUGCCUUAGUACGGCGAGUGAGCGGCAAAAGCUCAAAUUUGAAAUCUAGUACCUUUGGUGCUCGAGUUGUAAUUUGAAGAUGGUAACUUUGGAGUUGGCCCCUGCCUAUGUUCCUUGGAACAGGACGUCACAGAGGGUGAGAAUCCCGUCUGGUGAGGUGAUCCAACUCUAUGUAAAGUGCUAUCGAAGAGUCGAGUUGUUUGGGAAUGCAGCUCUAAGUGGGUGGUAAAUUCCAUCUAAAGCUAAAUAUUGGCGAGAGACCGAUAGCGAACAAGUACAGUGAUGGAAAGAUGAAAAGAACUUUGAAAAGAGAGUGAAAAAGUACGUGAAAUUGUUGAAAGGGAAGGGUAUUAGAUCAGACUUGGUGUUUUAUGAUUAUCUUCUCUUCUUGAGUUGUGCACUCGUAACUCACUGGGCCAGCAUCGAUUCGGAUGGCAAGAUAAUGACAUUGGAAUGUGGCAUUCGCUUCGGUGGAUGUGUUAUAGCCCUUGUUGAUGUUGCCUAUCUGGAUCGAGGACUGCGUCUUUUGACUAGGAUGUUGGCGUAAUGAUCUAAUAUCGCCCGUCUUGAAACACGGACC
rnacentral:rRNA from 1 species